rnacentral:rRNA from 1 species
AACGAACGCUGGCGGCAGGCUUAACACAUGCAAGUCGAACGCCCCGCAAGGGGAGUGGCAGACGGGUGAGUAACGCGCGGGAACGUGCCCUUCGCUUCGGAAUAGCCCCGGGAAACUGGGAGUAAUACCGAAUACGCCGUAUUGGGAAAGAUUUAUCGGCGAAGGAUCGGCCCGCGUUAGAUUAGCUAGUUGGCGGUGUAAUGGACCACCAAGGCUACGAUCUAUAGCUGGUCUGAGAGGAUGAUCAGCCACACUGGGACUGAGACACGGCCCAGACUCCUACGGGAGGCAGCAGUGGGGAAUCUUGGACAAUGGGCGCAAGCCUGAUCCAGCCAUGCCGCGUGAGUGAAGAAGGCCUUAGGGUUGUAAAACUCUUUCGCCGGAGAAGAUAAUGACGGUAUCCGGAGAAGAAGCCCCGGCUAACUUCGUGCCAGCCGCCGCCGUAAUAC